UACGUAGGGUGCAAGCGUUGUCCGGAAUUAUUGGGCGUAAAGAGCUCGUAGGCGGUUUGUCGCGUCGAAUGUGAAAACCCGGGGCUCAACCCCGGGCCUGCAUUCGAUACGGGCAGACUAGAGUUCGGUAGGGGAGUCUGGGAUUCCUGGUGUAGCGGUGAAAUGCGCAGAUAUCAGGAGGAACACCGGUGGCGAAGGCGGGACUCUGGGCCGAUACUGACGCUGAGGAGCGAAAGCGUGGGGAGCAAACAGG
rnacentral:rRNA from 1 species